ACUUGACUUUCUCUCCCAUUUGCAACUGCUGUUAACAGAUUCCAUAGGGGCCUCAGAAUGGACCUUAAAAGGCUGGAGGUAGCAGAAUCAACAGCAGAAGCUCCAGCUAUAACUACUACCAACAAGCAAGCUGCCUGAACUCUGCCUCACAGAAUGCUGCAGAAUGUGAAGCUGCAGAAACCACAUGCAGAAUAGCUACAAUUCUUAAAACUCCUUACUCCACAAUUACCAGCUGUCAACACAAGCUAUCCCUGGAUUCAUUCAAAAAUGGAACUACUGAAAAGGAGAGGCUGCUAUUACAA